UACGGAGGGUGCGAGCGUUGUCCGGAAUCACUGGGCGUAAAGGGCGCGUAGGCGGCGCGGGCAGUCAACGGUGAAAGCUUGGGGCUCAACCCCGAGUCGGCCGUCGAUACUCCCGCGCUCGAGCACUGUAGAGGCAGGUGGAAUUCCGGGUGUAGCGGUGGAAUGCGUAGAUAUCUGGAGGAACACCGGUGGCGAAGGCGGCAUCCUGGACCGAUAUUGACGCUGAUGCGCGAAAGCCAGGGGAGCAAACGGG
rnacentral:rRNA from 1 species